AUUGAACGCUGGCGGCAUGCCUUACACAUGCAAGUCGAACGGUAACAGGUCUUCGGAUGCUGACGAGUGGCGAACGGGUGAGUAAUAUAUCGGAACGUGCCCAGUCGUGGGGGAUAACGCAGCGAAAGCUGUGCUAAUACCGCAUACGAUCUAUGGAUGAAAGCGGGGGAUCGCAAGACCUCGCGCGAUUGGAGCGGCCGAUAUCAGAUUAGGUAGUUGGUGGGGUAAAGGCCCACCAAGCCAACGAUCUGUAGCUGGUCUGAGAGGACGACCAGCCACACUGGAACUGAGACACGGUCCAGACUCCUACGGGAGGCAGCAGUGGGGAAUUUUGGACAAUGGGCGCAAGCCUGAUCCAGCCAUGCCGCGUGAGUGAAGAAGGCCUCGGUUGUAAGCUCUUCGGUCCGGAAGGAAAUACGCAUGGGUUAAGUACCUCGUGUGGAGUGACGGUACCGGAAUAAGAAGACACCGGCGUAACUACGUGCC
rnacentral:rRNA from 1 species